UGCUCUGUUUCAGCUGUUAUGGUCAGUCUAGCUGUAUGGAGGAGAAGGUACUGCUCUGUUUCAGCUGUUAUGGUCAGUCUAGCUGUAUGGAGGAGGAGGUACUGCUCUGUUUCAGCUGUUAUGGUCAGUCUAGCUGUAUGGAGGAGGAGGUACUGCUCUGUUUCAGCUGUUAUGGUCAGUCUAGCUGUAUGGAGGAGGAGGUACUGCUCUGUUUCAGCUGUUAUGGUCAGUCUAGCUGUAUGGAGAAGGUACUGCUCUGUUUCAGCUGUUAUGGUCAGUCUAGCUGUAUGGAGGAGGAGGUACUGCUCUGUUUCAGCUGUUAUGGUCAGUCUAGCUGUAUGGAGGAGGUACUGCUCUGUUUCAGCUGUUAUGGUCAGUCUAGCUGUAUGGAGGAGGUACUGCUCUGUUUCAGCUGUUAUGGUCA
rnacentral:lncRNA from 1 species